GAUGAACGCUGGCGGCGUGCCUAGUACAUGCAAGUCGAGCGAACGGACGAGAAGCUUGCUCCUCUGAUGUUAGCGGCGGACGGGUGAGUAACACGUGGAUAACCUACCUAUAAGACUGGGAUAACUUCGGGAAACCGGAGCUAAUACCGGAUAAUAUUUUGAACCGCAUGGUUCAAAAGUUAAAGACGGUUUUGCUGUCACUUAUAGAUGGAUCCGCGCUGCAUUAGCUAGUUGGUAAGGUAACGGCUUACCAAGGCAACGAUGCGUAGCCGACCUGAGAGGGUGAUCGGCCACACUGGAACUGAGACACGGUCCAGACUCCUACGGGAGGCAGCAGUAGGGAAUCUUCCGCAAAGGGCGAAAGCCUGACGGAGCAACGCCGCGUGAGUGAUGAAGGUCUUCGGAUCGUAAAACUCUGUUAUUAGGGAAGAACAUAUGUGUAAGUAACUGUGCACGUCUUGACGGUACCUAAUCAGAAAGCCACGGCUAACUACGUG
rnacentral:rRNA from 1 species